UUAUCGAAGCUAAAAGGGGAUCCCCUCUGCUUUAACAUGGGGGUACCUGCUGUGUAAAGCAAAAGUAAGUGCUUCCAUGUUUCAGUGGAGGUGUCUCCAAGUCAAUACUUUAAAAG
rnacentral:pre_miRNA from 8 species